UUAACAAAAUUAGUUUGGUUUGUGUUCGGUAUGAUUUGUGUUUGGUUUUGUUUGUUUUUGUUUUGUUUAGUUCAGUUGAAUUGUUUUUAAUUUUAUUUUAAUUUGGUUACGAAAAUAUAAUUUAUAAAACAAAACAAAAAAAUUGACACUAAAUUAUUAAUGUUUUUAUAUUUAAACGUAAAGACAAACAUCAUAAUAAAAUGUAGAUGUAAUCAAAUAUUUUAUAUGAUUA
rnacentral:lncRNA from 1 species